UGUUGUUAUACUAGCAUUAGCAUAGAGCUUUUUUAUAGCAUCACUAUCUACUCUUGCAUAGUAUUUGCUUAUCAUAUUCAACCAUCUUGAAUCUCCAUAUGGCAUCCAUGGCUAGUGCUAAAAGCUGAGAGCUACACUCAUUUGGGACUUGGAGAGGAGAGGAACAAGGGAGGAGCAACUAUGAGCAUCUUGAUUAGCUAUUUCAUUUUAUGUUUAUAUGCUUUCUAUUUCAUGCUUAAUAUCUCUCUUGAUAUGCCUGUUUAGGAUAAUCUUUUGUUGCUAACACUAACGUUUGUUUCUUGUGCUCUUGUGUGUGUUGCCAUCAAACAGAUUUUCUAAUCCUUUUUUGCAGAGCAUCAGGUUGUAAGGGAGGACUUUGGAUAAAAAGACAUACACAUAAAGAAAAAAAUUGACAAAUUUAAGAAAACAAGAUAAAGAUAAUAAAAACCUAACAUAAACAAUUUUUACAAAUUUAUUUUAUUUUUCUCUCUUUUUCCAUACAAUUUGCUCAUAUUAAAUUGCUAUCUAAUACAUUAUUUUCUUCAAUUUUUUUCACCUAUAUGUACUUAAGGGAUGAGUGAAAGAGCAACUUCAAAAAAGUUAUAGAAAGUUCUUGUACAAACUUUACACUUAAUGCAAGGGAUGUCAAUUUCUAGGGCUCUUUGUCCGUGACCUAAAAUAAUUAGCUUUAAUUUUUAUUAUUUUUAAUCACCCCUUCAGAAUCUUGCCCUACUUUUAUCUAUAAAGUAGGCCAUUCUUGUUCAGUUCUAGACGGUGAAGGUCGUCGCUUGAGUUUGGCUAAUUUUCCCAAGGCGGCUUCAGCCGAUACUCAUUGCAGGCUAUUUAUUAGAAUGAAUGUAGGGACAAAUAGCCUUUUAUAGUGAGUGCCCAGUUGUUUGUUGAAGGGCAAAAAGAAAGACAUGGUGGGUAUAGAGAGGGAUAAGAUGUAGCAGGAGGGCAUCAGGCAUGGGAGGAAUGGCAAGAUAUUGCUCAUUUAAUAGUGAUAAUGAGCCUGAAGGUCUUACCUGGUCCUCCCAUGCCCAUAGCCCUCCCUACAUAUCCCUUUUAUUCCACUUUGCUUCUGCAAAUCUAUGCUACAGUACAUGGAGGGGAAUGUGUAUUUUGACAUUAUAGAUUUGUGCAAGCAUAAGAUCUAUUGAAUAAUACGUAACUGGCAAAUGUCUUGAGGCUAAGACCCCAUUAGGGUUGUACUUAUUCAUGUAAGGGGCGUUGGGAUCUAUAAGCAUAGAGUGAAGUCUUAUGGAAAGAGGAAAUUGUUUUACUAACUGAGCUAGAAGCCUUAUGUAUAUCUGAAAAUAUUCGAUUAAGAUUGUUAACAUAUACGAUUCUCCAAAGUUUCACGAGAUUUACAGCUCUCUGAAAGUUCUUCCCCAUAAGUCUGUGUCAAAUAAUUAAAUAAAAUAUACCCAAAAAUAAAUUCAGAUUUCUCCC